GGGCCCGCACAAGCAGCGGAGCGUGUGGUUUAAUUCGAUGUUACACGAAGAACCUUACCAGGGUUUGACAUGCAAGUGGUAGGAAGCCGAAAGGUGACCGACCCUUCGGGGAGCUUGCACAGGUGCUGCAUGGCUGUCGUCAGCUCGUGUCGUGAGAUGUUCGGUUAAGUCCGCUAACGAGCGCAACCCUCGCUGUGUGUUAUAUGUGUCACACGGGGACUGCCGGUCUUAAGCCGGAGGAAGGUGGGGAUGAUGUCAAGUCAGCAUGGCCUUUAUAUCCUGGGCUACACACACGCUACAAUGGCCAACACAAUAGGUUGCUAAGCCGCGAGGUGGCGCCAAUCCAUAAAGUUAGGUCUCAGUUCAGAUUGUAGGCUGCAACCCGCCUGCAUGAAGAUGGAGUUGCUAGUAACCGCAGGUCAGCUAUACUGCGGUGAAUACGUUCCCGGGGCUU
rnacentral:rRNA from 1 species